rnacentral:rRNA from 1 species
CGGAAGAAACUACAAGGAUUCCCCUAGUAACUGCGAGUGAAGCGGGAAAAGCUCAAAUUUAAAAUCUGGCAGUCUUUGGCUGUCCGAGUUGUAGUCUGGAGAAGUGCUUUCCGUGCUGGACCGUGUACAAGUCUCCUGGAAUGGAGUGUCAUAGAGGGUGAGAAUCCCGUCUUUGACACGGACUACCAGUGCUCUGUGAUGUGCUCUCAAAGAGUCGAGUUGUUUGGGAAUGCAGCUCAAAAUGGGUGGUGAAUUCCAUCUAAAGCUAAAUAUUGGCGAGAGACCGAUAGCGAACAAGUACCGUGAGGGAAAGAUGAAAAGCACUUUGGAAAGAGAGUUAAACAGUACGUGAAAUUGUUGAAAGGGAAACGCUUGAAGUCAGUCGCGUUUGCCAGAACUCAGCCUAGCUUCGGCUUGGUGUACUUUCUGGUGAACGGGCCAGCAUCAAUUUUGAUCGUCGGAUAAUGGCAAGGGGAAUGUGGCACCUUCGGGUGUGUUAUAGCCCCUUGUCGCAUACGGCGGUUGGGAUUGAGGAAUUCGGCAUCCCCUCGUGGUUGAUGCUUAGGAUGCUGGCGUAAUGGCUUUAAACGACCCGUCUGGAAACACGGA